rnacentral:lncRNA from 1 species
UUUGUUGGAAGACCAAUUUUGGGCCAAUUCUUGCAACAAAUCUGGCCCAAAAAAUUACCAAACCCACUAAAAUUAACCCAGACCCAACACCUUGCCCGGUUCAAAACCCCCAAAAACAAAACGACACCGUUUUAUGCCAAACAAUUUGAGCCGUUGAUCAAUCUUGAUCAAACGGUCAAGAUGCAAGGGUUGUUACCCUAUAUAAUUGUCAGACAACCCCCUACCAUUUAGACCUCGUACCAUGUCCAAAGAGCCCUACUCCCUCCGGUAUAACACCGCCGUGCACCCACCGUGUCCCCGCCGCCUGCCGCCGGCCGGAAAUCGCCGCCGCCCCAAAUUCACCCAAAUUUACACCACAGGUUCCCCGUCUUCUCCUCUUUCCAACCCCUCUAGAAUCACCACUCAAAACCCAGCCAAACACGCCGAAUAUCCCUCUAAAGUAGUGGCUGCUCCGCCGACUCCAAUGGCUUCCAAAUUAACACCUCAUACUCCCCUUGGCCUCCCCUACCCGAAAAUGAACCCAACUUCAUUCGAAUAACCCCCAAACUCGUCGAAUUUUAAAUCUGAGUCUUGACCUAAUUUUGAAGAUGAAUUUUUCAAAGCCGUUUGAGUUUCAAAACGGAGUUGCAUGUUUGUUUUGGCCAAAAAGAAACUUGUAACUCCAUUUGGAGACUCAAAUUGAAUCCAGCAAGCCUAAUUGAAGAUUCAACCAGUAAGUCUCCAUUUGUUUCCAUUUUUAUCUUUUAAUUUACCUCUUUGAUAGUAAAUUUAUCUUAUUUUAAGUUUUGAAUAUUAGUUUUAAUUAGAAACAUUGAAUAGUUUUACUAAGAUUUGAGUUUGAAUUUUGGUGACCAUUUGUUUUGUGUGCAUUUUUAUUGUUCUUCUGGUGAUCCCAUAGGUUUAGCUUCUAAUCAUGUUACCCAUUUCUUCAGCUUAAUAUCCAUGUUUGAUUUAGUCCUAAUUCCUGAACCUUCAUGUUUAUUGUUCAGCUUAGUUUAAUGUUCAACAAAUAGUUGGUAGUAGUUUGAAUAGGAAUCAGUUUCAAUUUUGAUUGUUCCAAAUGGUAUAUUGGCAUAGUAGUCACAACUUUGCAUGUUUUUUCUUUAAUUUCAGCAUUUAGUCAGUUUCAAUUUUGAUUGUUCCAAAUGAUAUAAUGGCAUGGUAGUCACAACUUUGUAUGUUUUUUCUUUUAAUUUCAACAGUUCUUUUGGUGAUCCCAUAGGUUUAGCUUCUAACCAUGUUACCCAUUUCUCUAGCUUAGUAUCCAUGUUUGAUUUAGUCCUAAUUCCCGAACCUUCAUGUUUAUUGUUCAGCUUAGUUUAAUGUUCAACAAAUAGUUGGUAGUAGUUUGAAUAGGAAUCAGUUUCAAUUUUGAUUGUUCCAAAUGGUAUAAUGGCAUGGUAGUCACAUCUUUGCAUGUUUUUUCUUAAUUUCAACAUUUAAUUUGAAUUUUUGGUCUAGUUGUGCUUUGAAUUUUGAAUUGGAUUUUUUUUUGUUAUUCCUGAUCAUUGGUUCAAGUUUAAUUAUGGUUUGGUUAUAGCUGACAAUUAGCUAGUAGUUAAUUUUAGGACUUAGCUGAGUUAAAUGGUAAUUUCAGUAUAUUAAAAGGAUAAUAUAGGAUUUUAAUUUGGUUUGGUACUUUUAGGAUUAAAAUAAGGGUAGUAUAUGUAUCCUAUAAAUAAGAAACAAUGCUAGAAUCUUUUAGACCCUUCUAGACGGGGAUUAUAGUUUAAAAAUGAGUAGUCUAGUGCAGCAACUUAGGAAACAAGCCAAAUAAUGAAGGACCAAGUAGGUAUAAUCUGAAAAUCAAAAGAGGGACUAGUAGUUAAAAUGAAAUAAAAGGGUUGCCCUAGCCCUUGGCUAAAAAAGGACCCCAUUUCAUUCAGAAAAAGUGGUUACGUAGUUAAAAUGAAAUAAAGGAUUGUCCUAGCCUUUGGCUAUAAAGACACCCAAUUCAUUCAAAAGAGAGAGGUUACACAAUCUGAAAAUCCUUAAGAAAAUUCCAGAUAUUUUAAACCCAACAAUCUCCAAAAACUCCUGAAAAGUGUCCAGAAAUCCUGGGUUUUCUAAGAAUUAUCGAACUUUCUGAAGUUCAGUGGAUUUUUCACUGUUCUAUUAGAUUACUUUUCCUGAAAAUAACUCUAAUUCCAGCUGUGCAGUAGAAGUUUAGCUAUAUAUGGAUGAAAAAUAGCCUGAAAAAUAUACAUUUAAAGAGUUGAGUUUCCAGCAUUGGCCUUGGGUUUAAUUUGAGUUUAUUAGGUCAUUGUUCAAGCUAUUUUGAGUUAAAUUGCUGAUUUAGUAUGGUGUGAAAAUCUUCCUGGGUUCCUGUUUAGCUGUUUAAGGUUCAUUUGUGCCAUUUGGUUGGGUUUUUACUGGUCUGAGCUUGGGUUUAAGCUUUCUCGGGAUAUUUGGUAGCAUUACUGGGUGUAUUAACUAUUCAUGAGCUUUGGAUUUUGUGGAUAUCACACUGGUUGAGCUUUGCUGACUCUCAGUGUUGUUUUUACACAGAUUCCAGGUACUUUUUCAAUCUCCCAUGAUGUAUGAAGUCUGAACGUAAUGAAUAUUCACGUUAAAGAAGCCUAUUAUAUGUUUUUCAUCAGCCUUAUUACUAUUAUAUUGUUAUAAUUGAGACAAUGGCUUGUAAUAAUUAAACAUUUAGACUGUGCUGAAUUAUUUUGAACCAUUUGGAUCAUUCAUUUUGUACCAUUCUGUACUUUAGUAGGAUAAGUCGUGGUAUUAGUAAUGGUGGAUUGCUUAAAUCCUUAUGUUUAAUUUAAUGGUGAAGAUAUUAUGUGUACACAUAUUUGGAUUCGUAUUGAUAGGAUUAUUAGUUGAGAUAUAAAAGUUUACCCUGAGUUUUACCCUGUUAGACGUUUUGGCAUGCUAAAAUGAUAAAAAUACAGGCAUUAAUAAAAUGAUUUGGAAGAGCUGUAACCUUGUGUUUUAUGGAAUGCUACUUUCGACCUUGAUUAAUUUGUUGUUUUACGUUUCUGG